CGUCCCCGCUUCCCGCCGCCGCCGGACCGGCCCUCUCACCGGCACCACCCGGCUGCCCGUCCGCCCCGGAGCACCGCGUCGCGGGCCGGUGUCUCUCACGGCGCUAUUAGCACCGGAUCAAAAUACGCUGAGGAGCGUGUAUUAUUCUCCACUGACUACAGAGAGGAAGAGACUGAUCAGACCAACACUUGACCCGCAAUAUCCUACAGCAGAACUGCUCCACACCUCAGCUUCACUUUCUAUUUAGUGUUGAAGACAUUCUGUAUCAUUUUCUUAAUGUUUCUAAGUCCGCAUUAAUACUCUCUGCAGAUUCCCUUCGUCUGCCGUCUUCGUCAGACCACAGAAUCUGUCCAUUGUGGAUGGCUCAACAUGCUCCUGCCAGAAGUAGAAGAG